AUGGACGUGCACCACCCGCCGAAUGCGGCGGCGGCGGCGGCCGCCGCCCUCGGCGACAUGUUCCCCCAGGAGCCCGCCAUGGAAAGUGAAGACAGCAGCACAGAGUGGCUCUCCAUCUAUUUAGAGGACUGCUUGACUAACCCUGCAUCCUACCCUGUCUCCGAAGAACAAGCAUCUGUAAACCCAAACCUGCCACAUCCUUCAUCUUCCAAUCCCAGAAGAAAGAAGAGAAGCCUGGCCUCUGUUAUAAGAGAUAGUGAUGAAGAAUAUUUCCUGAUUGUUGAGCCACCACUACUACUUGAUCAGAAGCAUUGGCUAGCAGAGAGUGAGCUCAUCCUCCCCAAGAAAGACAAGGACCAAGAACUUGUCCAAAAACUGGAGCAGGAACACGAGGAAGAAUAUAAGCCCUACACUGUGCAGUUCAAGCAAGAGCAGGCGGUGAUGAGGUGUAGCAUUUGUUUGUCCAACUCCAACCAAACACCACAGCAGUGGCAGGGUGGUCCAUCAGGGGCAUUAUUGUGCAACACGUGCAGCCUGAGGCUCAAGGCAGGGAACGGGUUCAUCAAACUGGAGCGCUGCGGCCAACAAGUUGACGAAGAACAAGAUCAUGGAAGGGGGCAGGAUAAGAGGAAGAUCAAGAAGACCACAUAUUAUGGAGAUGAUGAGGAGCCUCCGCAGGAGAAGAGGAGGAUCAAGAAGACUUCAUUUGUAGAUGAGCAGGGCAAGAGGAGGACCAAGAAGACAUAUGUGAACGAGGAGGUCCCACUGGAGGAGCCAGUGAAGCGGUGCACCCAUUGCCUGUCCCACACGACGCCACAGUGGAGGAGCGGCCCUCUAGGGCCCAAGACUCUAUGCAACGCGUGCGGCGUGAGGUACAAGUCCGGCAGGCUGCUGCCGGAGUACAGGCCCGCCAACAGCCCAACCUUCGUGAGCUUCAUGCACUCCAAUUCCCACAAGAAGGUGAUGCAGAUGAGGAAGAGUGUCGAGAACGAGCACGAGCAUGAGUACUCACACUCGGAUAUGUGA
rnacentral:rRNA from 1 species